rnacentral:rRNA from 1 species
ACUGUUCAGUAACACGUGGAUAACCUGCCCUAUGGUGGAGAAUAACCCCGGGAAACUGGGGAUAAUACUCCAUAGAUUAGAGAUACUGGAAUGUUCUUUAAUCGAAAGUUGAGGCGCCAUAGGAUGGAUCUGCGGUCGAUUAGGUUGUUGUUGGGGUAACGGCCCAACAAGCCUGUAAUCGAUACGGGUUGUGGGAGCAAGAGCCCGGAGAUGGAAUCUGAGACACGAUUCCAGGCCCUACGGGGCGCAGCAGGCGCGAAAACUUUACAAUGCAGGAAACUGUGAUAAGGGAACCCCGAGUGCCCGUAUACGCGGGCUGUCCAGGUGUCUAAAAAGCAUCUGAAGAAAGGGCCGGGCAAGACCGGUGCCAGCCGCCGCGGUAAUACCGGCGGCUCGAGUGGUGGCCACUAUUAUUGGGCUUAAAGCGUCCGUAGCUGGACUCUUAAGUCUCUUGGGAAAUCCGCCGGUUUAACCGACGGGCGUCUAAGAGAUACUGAGAGUCUAGGGACCGGGAGAGGUGAGAGGUACUCCGGGGGUAGGAGUGAAAUCCUGUAAUCCCUGGGGGACCACCGAUGGCGAAGGCAUCUCACCAGAACGGCUCCGACAGUGAGGGACGAAAGCUGGGGGAGCGAACCGGAUUAGAUACCCGGGUAGUCCCAGCCGUAAACUAUGCGCGUUAGGUGUACUGGUGACCACGAGUCACUGGGGUGCCGAAGGGAAACCGUGAAACGUGCCGCCUGGGAAGUACGGUCGCAAGGCUGAAACUUAAAGGAAUUGGCGGGGGAGCAC